UAAAGUAUAAUACUGUAUUUACCACAACGGACUAUUUGGCGCUAUUUGGAUCUCAGGAUUUGCUUUACUAUUAAGAUUAGGAACCAUCAAGUGCAGGGUUGAAGUUUUGCCCGAGGAGAGUGAUCAGCUGACGAUGCCGGAGAACAUAAUAAGAGCUGCGUCCAAGGACAGACACCUUGCGAAGAUUUUUUCACCCCCGUGAGUAAGGAAGAGGAAGAACAGCAAACAAGCAAGCUACAACAAAGGCAUCCAUCGAGAAAGACAUGAGCCUUCCAGCCACACCAAGACUCAUAAUGCUUGGGAACAAUUUCUCUCUUCCACAAAGUGGAUGGUAAGGAUUGAGGGAAAGGUGGCCUAUGUUUUGGAUGAGCACCUGGGAUGUGCAGAUGCCUUUCUGUAUUCUUCAUCUUCUUCUACGUUUUAAACAUUGAAUACCAGGAGACUGCCUGUGCAACACUGGAACUCAUAAAACAGUUUUUCUUGAGGAUAAACCCAGAGGAGGGAACAAAAUGCACCGCCAAAACCGGAGUGAGUCGGAAGACAGGGGAAGUUGUGAAGAGAAAGACAACAGUAAUAAACAACAGUGUCAUCCUUUCUUCGCCACCUAAUGGAGUUUGAGUGGAGAAACUCGGACUAGAGGGACUUCUGACAGAUUCCUGCCAUAAUGAAGAAUAUUCCUGGUUGUUUCAAGUCAUCAAAUGUGCCAGGUUUAUUGACUUCCAAAGAAGAUGAAAAACUUGAGUACUUAUCUACUUUCACAAUUUAUUGGCUUUGGACAUUUAGGUUUUAGUCAUGUAUAUGAGUAUUUUACAACAAAUUUACAGUAUUCUUAAGUGACGUAUUUCUCAUGUAUUUUCCUAUGAAUUUAAUACUUUAAUGCACAUUCAAUAAUAUGUUAUUUUGUCAAUUCUUUAAUUUAUUCCUUGUUAAUGGAUUUAAAUGUUACAUCCAGUAUACAGACAAAGGACAAAAAAUUGUUGCACUGUCCCAGCAUUGUAUCUUUAACGACAGUUCUUUAUGCAUAGUCCAGAUACUUUGUUUUAAAAACAAUUUUCUGCAGUGUUUUUGCCAUUGAAUGCACUCUAAUUGCUUUUAUACAUGUAAAUUCAUGCUCUCUAUAUUUAUUUUAUUUUUUUCAAAAUAAGAUAUGAAUUGAGAAAGUUUUAAAG